AGAGUUUGAUCAUGGCUCAGGACGAACGCUGGCGGCGUGCUUAACACAUGCAAGUCGAACGGUGAAGCCCUUCGGGGUGGAUCAGUGGCGAACGGGUGAGUAACACGUGGGUAACCUGCCCUGAACUCUGGGAUAACUCCGGGAAACCGGGGCUAAUACCGGAUACGACCCCUGACCGCAUGGUCGGGGGUGGAAAGUUGUUUCGGUUCAGGAUGGACCCGCGGCCUAUCAGCUUGUUGGUGGGGUAAUGGCCUACCAAGGCUUUGACGGGUAGCCGGCCUGAGAGGGCGACCGGCCACACUGGGACUGAGACACGGCCCAGACUCCUACGGGAGGCAGCAGUGGGGAAUAUUGCACAAUGGGCGAAAGCCUGAUGCAGCGACGCCGCGUGAGGGAUGACGGCCUUCGGGUUGUAAACCUCUUUCAGCAGGGACGAAGCGCAAGUGACUGUACCUGCAGAAGAAGCACCGGCUAACUACGUGCCAGCAGCCGCGGUAAUACGUAGGGUGCGAGCGUUGUCCGGAUUUAUUGGGCGUAAAGAGCUUGUAGGCGGCUCGUCGCGUCGGGUGUGAAAACUCGCGGCUCAACCGCGAGCCUGCACCCGAUACGGGCGGGCUAGAGUUCGGCAGGGGAGACUGGAAUUCCUGGUGUAGCGGUGGAAUGCGCAGAUAUCAGGAGGAACACCGGUGGCGAAGGCGGGUCUCUGGGCCGAUACUGACGCUGAGAAGCGAAAGCGUGGGGAGCGAACAGGAUUAGAUACCCCCGUAGUCC
rnacentral:rRNA from 1 species